UGACGGCCUUCGGGUUGUAAACCUCUUUUAGCAGGGAAGAAGCGAGAGUGACGGUACCUGCAGAAAAAGCACCGGCUAACUACGUGCCAGCAGCCGCGGUAAUACGUAGGGUGCAAGCGUUAUCCGGAAUUAUUGGGCGUAAAGAGCUCGUAGGCGGUUUGUCGCGUCUGCCGUGAAAUCCUCAGGCUCAACCUGAGGCUUGCGGUGGGUACGGGCAGACUUGAGUGCGGUAGGGGAGAUUGGAAUUCCUGGUGUAGCGGUGGAAUGCGCAGAUAUCAGGAGGAACACCGAUGGCGAAGGCAGAUCUCUGGGCCGUAACUGACGCUGAGGAGCGAAAGGGUGGGGAGCAAACA
rnacentral:rRNA from 1 species